rnacentral:rRNA from 1 species
UCUGCUGGAUCAGUGGCGAACGGGUGAGUAACACGUGAGCAAUCUGCCCCUGACUCUGGGAUAAGCGCUGGAAACGGCGUCUAAUACCGGAUACGAGCUGCGAAGGCAUCUUCAGCAGCUGGAAAGAACUUCGGUCAGGGAUGAGCUCGCGGCCUAUCAGCUAGUUGGUGAGGUAACGGCUCACCAAGGCGUCGACGGGUAGCCGGCCUGAGAGGGUGACCGGCCACACUGGGACUGAGACACGGCCCRGACUCCUACGGGAGGCAGCAGUGGGGAAUAUUGCACAAUGGGCGAAAGCCUGAUGCAGCAACGCCGCGUGAGGGACGACGGCCUUCGGGUUGUAAACCUCUUUUACAGGAAGAAGCGAAAUGACCGUACCUGCAGAAAACGCCGGGUACUACGUGCCAGCAGCCGCGUAAUCGUAAGGGCCAACGUUUCCGGAAUAAUGGGCGUAAACUCGUAGCGGUUGUCCG